AAAUCUUUAUUGUGCACUUUUUGAGACCAAUUGCGUUCAACUUAUUAAUUUUGCAUUAAUUAUUAACGACAGGAUUCUUAAAGGACGGUGCACUAUAUAAGGAAUAACUUAUUUCGAUCAAUAGGCGUAAGACAUUAUUUGCUCCGAAGAUGAACUCGUUACGCUUAUCAUUUUGUCGAUUUGUUUGCUCGGGACUCUUACCGAGUGCAAGAGGGGAGAAAGGAAGUGGAGAGUUGCGGGAGAUCUUAGUUAUACAAGAGACAGCGGAUGGGCUGGUAAAUCGGUGUGUCCCUGUCCGGGAGAAAAAACGGUCUACAAAUGAAGAAGUGUUUGACGUCAUGAUGUACAUGGUUAACACGGAUACCGGAAGUAGAUUUAAAUCAACCCUUGCGAUUUUGCAUUAUAUGACCAAGAUGACGACUUAGAUGUAACAAUGGCAGAUUUUGAUAUACUAUUUCCGAUGUGGAAACAAAACAACAUGUCCUAGAAGAACAGCUUUUUACAGAUUAGAUGCUGACAAUGAUAAGAAAAUUUCCGUUACGGAGUUUGAGGAAAAAAGAGGACUAGUGUUUUCCAAAAACACAUGUGUCAUCAAUGCUGCAUAGGAAUGUCCAAGACAAAAGAGAAGAAGCGCUUUCCAAUAAAUAAAAACAUAAAUUUCUACCUUCGUGUUCCUGUUUUUUCUUUCUGAUAUUGUCAAAUAAAUUUAUGUUCCGGAAUAAAAAGAUAUUAUCC
rnacentral:misc_RNA from 1 species